rnacentral:rRNA from 1 species
GAUGAACGCUAGCGGGAGGCCUAACACAUGCAAGCCGAGCGGUAGAGUCUCUUCGGAGACUUGAGAGCGGCGCACGGGUGCGGAACACGUGUGCAACCUGCCUUUAUCUGGGGGAUAGCCUUUCGAAAGGAAGAUUAAUACCCCAUAAUAUACUGGAUGGCAUCAUCUGGUAUUGAAAACUCCGGUGGAUAGAGAUGGGGACGCGCAAGAUUAGAUAGUUGGUGAGGUAACGGCUCACCAAGUCAGCGAUCUUUAGGGGGCCUGAGAGGGUGAUGCCCCACACUGGGACUGAGACACGGACCAGACACCUACGGGAGGCAGCAGUGAGGGAUAUUGCAGUAUGGGUGAGUGCCUGAUCCAGCCAUCCCGCGUGAAGGACGGCGGCCCUAUGGAUUGUAAACUUCUUUUGUAUAGGGGUAAACCUAGAUACGUGUGUCUAGCUGAAGGUACUAUACAAAUAAGCACCGGCUAACUCCGUG